GGCAGGAUAGUCCAGGAUAGUGAUUAGGGGCGUUCGACUUCCAGCCGAAAGGUUCUGGGUUCGAUCCCCAAUGUCCCCGUCCU